GGGUGUAGUUUAGUGGUAAAACUACAGCCUUCCAAGCUGUUGUCGCGAGUUCGAUUCUCGUCACCC
rnacentral:tRNA from 2 species